AAUAAAGUUAAACUAAUUUUUAAUAUAAUCAUGAAUUUAUAAAUUAAAACAUUUGUAGAUUAAGUAAAGGUGAUUAAAAUUUAAUGUUUUAUUUAAAGGAAAGUACUGAGAAGGAAUAAGGUAAAUUAAUUAACAGAAAAAAUUAAUGUUUGUACCUUUUGUAUCAUGGUUUAGCUAGAUUUAAAUUUUAAUUAUAAUUUCUCGAAAUCUAAUGAGCUAUUUUUAACUCUUAUUUUAGUAAGAACAUUUAUUUUAGGGUAGUUGUAGCAAAAACUUCUAAAUAGUUAAAAAUAGAAAUGAAAUUUUAUUCGAAUUAGAUGAUAGCUAGUUCUUUCAGAAAAGCAUUUAAGUGCUAUUAACUAAGUUUUUAAUGAGAAUAUAACUCUAAAUAAAUCUUAGUUAAAUUAGAUUACUGAGGAUAAGCUCAGUAAUUAAAAAAAUAGAAAAGUAUUAAAUUUUAUUUUAAAUUUAAGCUUGAAAAUAGCUAUAAUUAUAUGAUUUUGUUAUAAUUUUAUAUAACUUUUAAAAAUAUAAUUGAUCUACUUAUCUAUAAUGAAGGAAAACUUAUAAAUUUAAUAUAAGAUAUAUUAAUGCUAAAAUGAGUAUUUAAUAAAAUAUAAUCCUAAUAUUAUUUUUUAUAAAUAAUAAAUUAAUACAUAAUUUAAAAAUAAAAUUACAUUAAGGAACUCGGCAAAUCUAAUAUUCUGCCUGUUUAUCAAAAACAUGGCUCCUUGAUUAUUUAAUAUAUAAGGAGUCGGACCUGCCCAGUGAAGUAGUUUUAAACGGCCGCGGUACUCUGACCGUGCAAAGGUAGCAUAAUCAUUUGCCCUAUAAUUGAGGGCUAGUAUGAAUGGUUUGACAAGAAUAAAGCUGUCUCUAUGUAAUUAUAUAGAAUUUUAUUUUUAGGUGAAGAAGCCUAAAUUGUAUUAAAAGACAAGAAGACCCUAUCGAGCUUUAAAGAAAUUAAUAAAGUAAUAAUAAAUAUUUAUAAAAUAAAAUUUAUUAAAAAUUUUGGUUGGGGCGACAAAGGAACAAACAAAGCUUCUUUUAAAAUAAUGAAACUUACAAGUAUUGAUCCAAAAAAUUUUGAUUAAAGAAAUUAGUUACCGUAGGGAUAACAGCAUUAUCUUUUUUGAGAGCUCAUAUCGAAAAAAAGGUUUGUGACCUCGAUGUUGGACCAGGAUAUCCCAAAGAUGCAGAAGUCUUUAAAGGUUGGUCUGUUCGACCAUUAAAAUCCUACGUGAUCUGAGUUCAGACCGGCGUGAGCCAGGUCAGUUUCUAUCUUUUAUUAACUAAAAUAAGUUUAGUACGAAAGGACCAACUUAUAAUAUUGUCAUAAUAUUAAUUCAUUGAUUAAAUAUAAUA
rnacentral:rRNA from 1 species